AUUUUAUUCAACAGCAAAUAUCUGCUGAAAGGCUAUAUGCUUUGUCUUACACAGUACAUUUUAGAGUGGCCAAACUCUAAACACUGCGUGGGUGUGUUUGCUCUUAGAUGGUGGAACAUAAGGAGUGUCUGGCGCUGCAGGUUCAGAAGCUGACUCUGGACUGUGAGAUGUACCAGCAGAAGAGCACUGUCAUACAGAGCCAACUGAGGGAGCUACAGGCAGAGAGAGACCACGUACGAAGCUAUUACCUUAUACCUUAUUGCUCAUCCUGAAAUCUAUUAUUGGAAUGCCAUACCUGUCUGUCUGUCUGUCUGUCUGUCUGCCUGCCUGCCUGCCUGCCUACAUACCUGUCUGUAUAUCCUGCCUGUCUGUCUGCCUAUAUCCACCUAUCUGCAUACUGACCUGCCGGCAUAUCUGUCUUUGCUAGUCAGUCCACAUACACUGAGUGUACAAAACAUUAGGAACACCUGCUCUUUCCUUGACAUAAACUGACCAAGUGAAUCCAGUUGAAACCUACCUCUUAUUGAUGUCACUUGUUAAAUCCACUUUAAUCAGUGUAGAUGAAGGGGAGGAGACAGGUUAAAGAAGGAUUUUGACGCCUUGAGACAACUGAGACAUGCGUAUGUGUGCCAUUCAGAGGGUGAAUGGGAAAGACAAAAGAUUUAAGUGCCUUUGAACGGCGUAUGGUAGUAGGUGUCGGGUUGUGUCAAGAACUGCAACACAGCUGGGGGGGCGGGGUAUAACUCAAUAUCAGGAAGGUGUCCUUAAUGUUUUCAAAACUCAUUGUAUGUGUGUAUGACUUAUUGCCGCCCUAUGUGUCUGUCUGUCCAUCCUUCCAGGCGUACCUGUCCAGAGACGAGGCCCAGGCCCAGAUAGCCAGGAGCCUGGCUGAGAAGGACACGCUGCGCAGCCAACUGGUGGAGCUCCAGGAGGUCUUCACCCUCAGGGCCUGCGGGGCCUACCGAGGAGGCCCCAACACGCCAGGGGAGAGGACGUUUAGCUGGGAGAGCCAGGGCUCCAGCAGUGACAGCCUUCCCUCCAGCCCCCCACCUCGGCCCCGCCUCCGCCGCAUGCAUGCAAUUUGCCUUGAUUCCUUGGGGGAAUGCAGUAUAAAGAGUGGCGAUAUCACUCCAAGUAGUGUCCGGUCCCAAAAUGUGGAGCCUCCAUGCCCAGAGUCACUGCGGAGACGAGAAGAGACCCUAUGGUACAAUCGAGACAGGUAAGGGGUGUGUGUGUUUAAGACAAUGUGUGUGUUUAAGACACAGUCCGACUCCUCAUUCAGAACCAGUUGAACAUUUACACAGUAGCACAGUUGGUGUGCUUCCUUCUAUAUUCCGAGUGAUGUGAUGUCACUGUCCAAAGUCUGCUUUUUUUACCAGGAAGGCCAUGUGUUUACUCUGUGUGUUGCCGGGAAUAGCUUCAUUUCAAGGCUUUAAUCCCAGCGUCCCCGGCACUUCUUUCUGUUCUAGUAACAUGAGACCAUUCUACAACAGAGCCAUUUCACUAUUAAAGCUGUGUAGAGGUAGAUUUGAUCUUCCUAUAAACUAUGUGGGGUCUCUCUCUGUGUCCCAAAUGGCAUUCUAUUCCCUAUAUAGUACAGUAGUUUUGACCAGAGCCCUAUGGGUCCUGGUCAAAAGUAGUGCACUAUAUAGGGAUUAGGGUGCCAUUGGAAACGCACCCUUGGUGGUCAUAUUUGAUCGAGGAUUCAGGUGUUUUUUUAAAAACUAAUUAUAGGUUGUUGUCACAGGUGAAUGGCUGCCCAUGUUCAUGUUUAUUGUCGUAGCUUUGUGUUUACAGUGAAGACAAAAGUCUGU
rnacentral:lncRNA from 1 species